CCCCAGGCUGCUGGUAAACGACAGAGAUAUACCCACAUUAGUGUUAAAGAGCUGCACUCUCCCUCUCUCUCUUUCUCUCUCUCUUCUCCUCCCCCCACCACAUACCAACAGGGAGCGAUAACGAGAGAUAAACACUCUGUAAACAUUGAUUUAAUAAACAUUGUGAUUUAGCAGAGAGAUAGCCCAGUCUCUGGCUCAGCUCAAUGAUCUAACGAGGUGAUCUGUGAUGAAAGCUAUUUUUCUGUGGACAGGAGUGUAGGUGGGAGAGAGGACCUGUAACAUCAACAUGAAGUGGAGGUGCAGAGAGGACCUGUAACAUCAGCAUGAAGUGGAGGUGCAGAGAGGACCUGUAACAUCAGCAUGAAGUGGAGGUGCAGAGAGGACCUGUAACAUCAGCAUGAAGUGGAGGUGCAGAGAGGACCUGUAACAUCAACAUGAAGUGGAGGUGCAGAGAGGACCUGUAACAUCAGCAUGAAGUGGAGGUGCAGAGAGGACCUGUAACAUCAACAUGAUUCAUUGACUUUUAUAAGCUGGUUGUUGCUACAUGAUCCAACAGAUCUCCUUUAGCCCUUAUAUAUAGACACUACACCGCCCAUACAAGGGCAGACACACGUGUGUGUGUGUGUGUGUGUGUGUGUGUGUGUGUGUGUGUGUGUGUGUGUGUGUGUGUGUGUGUACAUGUUUUAGUUGUAAUUUCAGUCAGCUGUGUCGUGCUAGGACAACAACCAAAACGUUGUACCCAAGAGGGGACCCCGGGACCGAGUUUGAGAAACCUGCUGUACAGCAAAACACACUGGAGAUGAAAGCAGCCGAUCCUGACUGAUUAAAGCCCAUAGAAUAACAUGUAGAACAGCUAUGACCUCUAGGACCCUGGAGCUCCAAGCCAGCGUCACUGUUCCCCUCUAAUCAGGGACUGAUUUAGACCUGGGACACCAGGUGGGUUAUUCCCCUCUAAUCAGGGCCUGAUUUAGACCUGGGGACACCAGGUGGGUUAUUCCCCUCUAAUCAGGGCCUGAUUUAGACCUGGGGACACCAGGUGGGUUAUUCCCCUCUAAUCAGGGCCUGAUUUAGACCUGGGGACACCAGGUGGGUUAUUCCCCCUCUAAUCAGGGCCUGAUUUAGACCUGGGGACACCAGGUGGGUGAUUCCCCUCUAAUCAGGGCCUGAUUUAGACCUGGGGACACCAGGUGGGUGAUUCCCCUCUAAUCAGGGACUGAUUUAGACCUGGGGACACCAGGUGGGUGAUUCCCCCUCUAAUCAGGGACUGAUUUAGACCUGGGGACACCAGGUGGGUGAUUCCCCUCUAGUCAGGGACUGAUUUAGACCUGGGGACACCAGGUGGGUGAUUCCCCUCUAAUCAGGGACUGAUUUAGACCUGGGGACACCAGGUGGGUGAUUCCCCUCUAGUCAGGGACUGAUUUAG
rnacentral:lncRNA from 1 species